GCCAGGUGUGGUGGUGCAUGCCUGUAAUCCCAGCUAAUUGGGAGGCUGAGGCAGGAGAAUUGCUGGAACCCAGGAGGCAGAGGUUUCAGUGAGCCAAGAUUGUGCCACUGCAUUCCAGCCUGUGAGACAGAAUGAGACUCCAUCUCAAAAAAAAAAACGAGCUGGGCAUGGUGGCAUGGGUUGGUAGUCCCAGCUACUUGGGAGGCUGGGAGUUUGAGGAUGCAGUGAGCCAUAAUUGUGCCACUGCACUCCAGCCUGGGUGACAGAGCGAGACCCUGCCUCA
rnacentral:sRNA from 1 species